rnacentral:tRNA from 1 species
AGCGGGGUAGAGCAGCCUGGACAGCUCGCUUGGUUCAUACCCAAGAGGUCGAGGGUUCAAAUCCCUCUCCCGCCACCA